GGGAUGCCACCGUGGUGCUGGGCCUGCAAGGGAGCCCCCAGGAGACUCUAUUAAGCUCCCAUUUGACAAGUUUUAAAACUGGCCCAACCCAGGCAUGUGCACAGGAUCAGAAGCCCCAUCUCUCUAAAUUACUAGGUUGAAAUGCCACAUCUUAACGACUCAUGCACCGUCCACACUACUGCUGCGGUAUCUGUGUCCCACCAGGGCUGUGUUUGAUUUUUUAAAUGAACUCGAUUUGUUUUAUUGUUUUGUAAUUUGAACAUGUAGAGAUGGAGGUAAAUAGAAAACCGGCAUCUGUGUAUUACACAUAGAAAGUCACCAUAAAAAUAAACACAAUGAAUACUCUUCAGCAAAGGGAAUGAAAAAUCUACAACUACAUACCACUGAACACAAAUGGAAAUCACCAACAGGUUGAGGGAGAGAAGCUGAGCCCAGGUGAGUCCAUUUAAAUGACUGAUGGAAAACUAAACGCAGGCAAAAUUAUCUUCUGUUGGGAGUUAGGAGAGUGGCUGCCCUUCUGGAAGGAGGGAUAGAGAGUGGAAAGGGAUGGGGGAGGGGCUUCCCGGAGCCCAGAAAAAUUCUGUUUUGUGAAUUCAAAAUUAGCAAAUUCUGUUUCUCCAUCUGGGUGCUGGUUUCACAGGUUGUUCAGUUUGUGAUGAUUCACUCCGUUUUACAUCCAGUUAACAUCACGGAUGGUGCUAAACUUCAAAAUAAAAAAAAAUUAAAAGUUAAGUAGAAGGGAGUUAACACACUACGGUGCGUAUUAAAUUCUGGCCAGAAACCAGGGUCAGUUUAGGGCCUGAGGUCUGCUCUCCUCUUUUAAGAAAAGGCUGAACAGGUGCGCAGCAGGGGUCAAAGCCUGUGCUGGCCACGUUUUCUGCUCCUCCUCCUCCUCAGGUUUGGAGGGGCAUUGGAAAGGAAAUGACUUUCUCACUGUGCAAUGCCAGGCUUUGUUCAAGCAUUUGGGAAAACAAUGAGGAGGCAGCUUAUUCCCAGCUCCAGGCAGGAGGAGACCUGCAGAGGGUGAGAUUCUCAGGGGAGGAACUGCCAGAAGCCUAAGAGCCUUUUUCCAGAGCUGCCUCCAGGAGAGAAGGUGAUCUACCUGGCUCCGGAUCAAGUCCUUUCUGCUCAGAACAAGCUUUCUGCACUUGUAGGAAUACAUCAAACAAUAUUACCUUGAAACAAGCAGGCACCUCUGCAAGAGAGUGAAUUCUGGAUCAAGCAACAGUUUCUUUAUGUCACUGUGGAAGAAAUCCGGACAAAAGUGAGACAAAAGUUUUCAAUCAAACAAUAAAGCAUGGGGGUUGAUCAAUAUACUCUUGAAAUGAAAAAUUCCAGUCAAAUAACAUGUUUAGAAUUUACACAAGACAAGGUACUUUACCAUGACCCUGAAAUUAUAAAAGUUGAAGGGGGCUGAGAGUGUUCUCAAGGCUUGGAGAAGCAGCAGCUUUCAGCCACCACAGGGAGCUGCAGCGCUCUCAUUUCUGGUUUAUAGGCUUACAACAGUUUUUGAAAGUAUUAGCUGCCUAACUACUGGAACAAGAAUGCCAUUGUUGAAAAAAUCAUCAAGAACAGUAAAUACUUUAAAGAAGAUGACAUUCGUAAUUUAUUCUGAAACUAUUCCAAAAAUAAAGUAUCUAAGGAAGAAUGGCUUGUGCUUUUAUAAGUUCGUAUUUCUAAAAUAGUAAAAUACUGAAUAUUCACAAAUCAGAAAGGAAGACAUUCUUUAAAUCUAUAGUUUCCCAUUUAAACAUAAAUGUUAAUCUUUGCAUAGAAAAAACUAAUUAUUUUGAAUUUUCCGUCAAUAAAAUAUCAUGCUUAAUUUGUUAAAUACUAUAAUUAUAUGUAACAGAUUCUAGAUUGCAAAAAUGUGUUACGCUUUCCCCAAGAACUCCUUGUAGACCCAUAUUUUUUCCUUUCUUAUUCCCAGUACAUUCUGUUAAAUGCCCUUGGCUCUAGGGAGCACAUUAAUUUCUUAGCCAGACCUGUGCACACCAGCACCUGACACAGAGAACUCAUUUUAGAAGCGGGAAGCAGACCCAGAAUCACCCUGCGAUUCGUCUCCCGCUGUGAGGCUUCAUGGAGGUUUGUAGUAGAGGCAAGCUGAGCUACAAGGAUGCUCCCACUAUGCAUCUAGUCCUGCCUUGAUGUGAGAUCAGAGCAGCUGGUGCUCAUGAACUUGGUGAAGACAGAUGCUCUGUCACUGUAACUACUGAAUAAGUACUUUUUCUGCAAAACACAGACUCUAACGGGAAGCAAACCUCUAAACAGAAUGGUCUCUUCUUGGGCCACUAAUAUUUUCUAAAACGUAACUUAUUUUAAUUUUGAAUUGCAUUUAAAGUUGAAUUGCAUUUUUCUUUCUCAUAUUCCUAUCUUCUAAUGAAACAUGGAG
rnacentral:lncRNA from 1 species